AAGAAAGUAUGCAAGAGCUGCUAACUCAUGCCUCCGUACCUAAACGUACGGCUUUCUUA
rnacentral:tRNA from 1 species